rnacentral:rRNA from 1 species
CCUACGGGUGGCAGCAGUGGGGAAUAUUGCGCAAUGGGCGAAAGCCUGACGCAGCGACGCCGCGUGAGGGAUGAAGGUCUUCGGAUCGUAAACCUCUGUCAGCAGGGAAGAACGGUCACUGUGCUAAUCAGCAGUGCAUUGACGGUACCUGCAAAGGAAGCACCGGCUAACUCCGUGCCAGCAGCCGCGGUAAUACGGAGGGUGCGCGCGUUAAUCGGAAUUACUGGGCGUAAAGCGCUCGUAGGCGGGAUGUCAAGUCAAGGGUGAAAUCCCCGCGCUCAACGUGGGAACUGCCUUUGAAACUGGCAAACUGGAGUGUGUGAGGGGAGAGUGGAAUUCCAGGUGUAGGAGUGAAAUGCGUAGAUAUCAGGAGGAACAUCAGUGGCGAAGGCGACUAUCUGGAACAUAACUGACGCUGAGGAGCGAAAGCGUGGGUAGCAAACAGGAUUAGAUACCCGAGUAGUC